AGAGUUUGAUCCUGGCUCAGAUUGAACGCUGGCGGCAUGCUUUACACAUGCAAGUCGAACGGCAGCACGGGAGNCNNAAUCCUGGUGGCGAGUGGCGAACGGGUGAGUAAUACAUCGGAACGUGUCCUGAAGUGGGGGAUAACGCGUCGAAAGAUGUGCUAAUACCGCAUAAUCUCUGAGGAGGAAAGUGGGGGAUCGCAAGACCUCAUGCUUUUGGAGCGGCCGAUGUCUGAUUAGCUAGUUGGUGAGGUAAUGGCUCACCAAGGCGACGAUCAGUAGUUGGUCUGAGAGGACGACCAGCCGCACUGGGACUGAGACACGGCCCAGACUCCUACGGAAGGCAGCAG
rnacentral:rRNA from 1 species